GGCUCAGAUUGAACGCUGGCGGCAUGCCUUACACAUGCAAGUCGAACGGCAGCACGGACUUCGGUCUGGUGGCGAGUGGCGAACGGGUGAGUAAAGUAUCGGAACGUACCUUUCAGUGGGGGAUAACGUAGCGAAAGUUACGCUAAUACCGCAUAUUCUGUGAGCAGGAAAGCAGGGGAUCGCAAGACCUUGCGCUGAUUGAGCGGCCGAUAUCAGAUUAGCUAGUUGGUGGGGUAAAAGCCUACCAAGGCGACGAUCUGUAGCGGGUCUGAGAGGAUGAUCCGCCACACUGGAACUGAGACACGGUCCAGACUCCUACGGGAGGCAGCAGUGGGGAAUUUUGGACAAUGGGGGCAACCCUGAUCCAGCCAUGCCGCGUGAGUGAAGAAGGCCUUCGGGUUGUAAAGCUCUUUCGGCCGGGAAGAAAUCGCACAGGUUAAUACCCUGUGUGGAUGACGGUACCGCAAGAAUAAGCACCGGCUAACUACGUG
rnacentral:rRNA from 1 species